AACAGGAUUAGAUACCCUGGUAGUCCACGCUGUAAACGAUGUCGAUUUGGAGGUUGUGCCCUUGAGGCGUGGCUUCCGGAGCUAACGCGUUAAAUCGACCGCCUGGGGAGUACGGCCGCAAGGUUAAAACUCAAAUGAAUUGACGGGGGCCCGCACAAGCGGUGGAGCAUGUGGUUUAAUUCGAUGCAACGCGAAGAACCUUACCUACUCUUGACAUCCAGAGAACUUAGCAGAGAUGCUUUGGUGCCUUCGGGAACUCUGAGACAGGUGCUGCAUGGCUGUCGUCAGCUCGUGUUGUGAAAUGUUGGGUUAAGUCCCGCAACGAGCGCAACCCUUAUCCUUUGUUGCCAGCGGUUCGGCCGGGAACUCAAAGGAGACUGCCAGUGAUAAACUGGAGGAAGGUGGGGUUGACGUCGAGUCAUCAUGGCCCUUACGAGUAGGGCUACACACGUGCUACAAUGGCGUAUACAAAGAGAAGCGACCUCGCGGGAGCAAGCGGACCUCAUAAAGUACGUCGUAGUCCGGAUUGGAGUCUGCAACUCGACUCCAUGAAGUCGGAAUCGCUAGUAAUCGUAGAUCAGAAUGCUACGGUGAAUACGUUCCCGGGCCUUGUACACACCGCCCGUCACACCAUGGGAGUGGGUUGCAAAAGAAGUAGGUAGCUUAACCUUCGGGAGGGCGCUUACCACUUUGUGAUUCAUGACUGGGGUGAAGUCGUAACAAGGUAACC
rnacentral:rRNA from 1 species